UAGAGCAUCUAUACCACCCUGAACGCACCCGAUCUCGUCUGAUCUCGGAAGCUAAGCAGGGUGGGGACUGGUUAGUGCUUAGA
rnacentral:rRNA from 1 species